GACAGAGGGUGCAAACGUUUGUUCGGAAUUACUGGGCGUAAAGCGUGUGUAGGCGGCUACAUAAGUCGGGUGUGAAAGCCCCGGGCUCAACCUGGGAAUUGCAUUCGAGACUGCGUAGCUAGGGUGCGGAAGAGGGAAGCGGAAUUUCCGGUGUAGCGGUGAAAUGCGUAGAUAUCGGAAGGAACACCAGUGGCGAAAGCGGCUUCCUGGUCCAGCACCGACGUUCAGGCACGAAAGCGUGGGGAGCAAACAGGG
rnacentral:rRNA from 1 species